ACUCCGCCUAUGCAACUUGAAGUAACACUUAAUUUCGCAUAGCUGGUCCCAAGCCCAGAAAAAAAGGAGGGGCUACCCAUUCACAUUGCUGAGAUGUUGUAACACUUUAACUGUUUGGUCAUAUGGUUUUGUUCCCAUCGUUCUUAUGAUUUUAAGCCCAUCGGUCAGUUCCACGACAAAAAUAUUCUCAGAUUUGAAUAGUGCUGCAUCCUAGGAACAAAGAUAGUCAUAGACUAUAGGUUUUGAUGGUGCCUUUAUGAAAAUACGAAUCUGUUGUGUGAGAAAUUUUUUUUCUUUUCGUUUUUAGUAUAUUACAGUAAUGCUGAACUUUUGAUUUUCCCAUGGCUAUCUUAGGAUGCUCUUACUUUUAGUGGUAGAUAGAAAAUUAUUAAACCGUUUCAAGUGUCACAAGACCUCAUCAUCAAGCUAAGCUACCUCAUUAUUAACUCGUCAGCUUCAGUCGUGGAGUAUUCUCGCCACCUACCGUUGAUUUGCUUUCAAGUUUUGGAGCUGUGGCCUCACCACAUAAAUAUUCAGUGGGUUUCUCUAGAGGCGCCCCCUUCCCUAGAGGCGCGCAGGGCACAUCUAGGGUUUCUCCUGAGGCCGCCUUCUUCUCCGUGACGGUGCUAGGGUUUGAAAUCAGUGGCGGUGGUGGAACCGGGACAUGCCGCUGCCACCUCCAGGCGGGACGGAUCCAUAGACCUCUGGACCCCGGAGGCUGCCCUCGGCACAGUCAACGACGAUGAGGAGAUGGGAUCCAGCCUCGACGCCCGCCGGUCCAACCUCGGUGGCCAUGGAUCUGGCAAGGUGGGUUGUUCCCUCCUCUACUUCUCCAAUCUCCAGCACACCCCGCUCUUCGUCCCCCAUGAGCCCGGCCCCUCUCAAUCCCCUCCUGCUCCAGGUAUGCCCUCCCUUUCUCUUCCCUUUCUGCUGUGGGUAGGUCCCUGACUAGGUGUGUGAUGCGUCUUGGGUCGUUUCGGUAAUGUGUUCGAUGAUAUGCCUCCGAGGUUAUCCUUGCAUUGGUUUGAUAAAUUGUUAGUUCCCCUUCACAAAUCAGACAAACUCUAGGUAAAAGGCCUCUAGCUCCUCCUUGAUGUGUUGUAUUUAUGCAAAUUGUUCCUGUUCUGAAUAAUCUAGUUCUUACACUUGAUAUGUGAUGAAGAAUUAUUUAUAAGCUCCAGAACAUGCUAUAUGCGAAGGUGUAUAUACUCUAAACCUGUGCUUGUAUAGGCUAUAAAACAAGCAUUUGACCUGUAUUGAAAGUAUUCUCUAUAUGGCUCAAAAAGUUUGGAUGUUCUGUUGAGAACAUUUGUUUGUUGACCGAACAUAUUCUCUAUAUGGCUCAAAAAGUUUGGCAUCUUUCUUAUUCUGAACAUAUUUAUGCAAGUAUGAUCUCUGCAUAUCCAUCUGGUACUUAUCUGAAUUAUAUUGUGGAUCCAUGUCUUAGUUUUUAUUUGGACAUGAGCCUACUGUCAAUAAAGAAAACUGAUAGUAAGGACCCAAUAAUUUUCACUUCUUUUGGUGCCCCUCUGCACUUCAUCCUGAUCUUAAAUUCUGCUUAAUCGUUGAUGCAAUUCAUGCACAAUUGAGCGAAAACUCAUUGAUAACCGUCUCUGUUGCUGAAGAUAUAUCAUAAAACAUGAAUAUAGCUCUAUUCUAGGAAGCAUUAUGUUGCUCUUUCGUUGAUAAUCGUCUUUCUCAAUGCACGUUCAUGGGAUGCAGCUGUAAAAAGCUUUCCCAGGGAACACCAGAUAUAACCCGGUGAUCUUUCUUGUUCCAAAGUUUAUUUUGGUUGCUUGUUUAUAUAUUUUCUUGCACCUAUAUCAGCUUUAUGUGGUAUCAAGAUUAAUUACUAUAUUGCUGCUAUGUUUCUCUUUAUCAUCUUAUUGCAGCUUGGCUUCUGGCAAUUGCUAUGAUGUAUGAUGGUGUAUCUUUGUUAAUCCUUUUUCCAGUAUUGAAUACACUUGGAGCAUGAAUUACCUUCUGAACCUUCUAUCACUUGAGUUUCUUUAUAACAUUUCAUUGCUGGUAGCAUUUGGUGCAGAAAAACUGACAAUUCUGUUUGGUCUACAGGUUAUGGUUAAAAAGGGCCCAUCUUCCCCUCCUUUGUUUGUUCCUGCGUCCCCUCCUCCCUUACUCUGGUGACUAUGUACGACUUAUUUGUUGCUGUCGAUGCCAAUUGUGUGAGAUACAUCUGAGAAAGAUUUUUUUACUAAGCACUUGUGCAUGCCGAUAUACAUCUGAGAACAAAUUUUUUUACUGAGCACUUGUCCAUGCCGAUGAUAAUAGUUUUCGUUCUGCCUAAGAACUUGUUCAAUGCCAAUGAUGAUUUUUCUUAUUUCAUUCUAUAAUUUUGCCGAGGCAUUGGACAUUUUCAAUGAUGUUUUUUGGAUGCUACACUUGAGAUGAGGCAUUGGACAUGUGCAGUGAUGGCUAAUUUUUUUCAUACUAAACAUGAGCAGAGGCAUUGGACAUGUGCAAUGAUGGUUAAUAUUUCUCAUACUAAACUUGAGCUGAGAGAAAAAAUUUCUCAGCUUGAAUAUGUAAGCUAUGCUACUAAUGUUUUUUCUUCUUAUUUGACAAAAUACAGUGGUUGAUACAAUAUCAGCUCUACCGAUGUCCUUGAUAUUCUUUCAGCUCAUUGAUGAACUGUGGAGAUUCUUGCUUCGACAGCUGUGGUCACAUGCUUCAAUCUCGGUUCGUUAGGAAGUGAAGGGCCACAUUUUGGUAUGUUUGUGCAUUUCAUAUUAGCUAGUAGUUGCCUCGUGCUAAUGAGUUUGGAUAUCUUAAUACUUUGAUCAUAAUAGAAAGAGGCUACAUGCAUGGUUAAAUCUGAAAUAGAUGCAUGAUGGAUGCAGUCUAUGCUACUUUGACAAUUGAUCCUCAUCUUGAGGCUAUGUAGAAAGAGGUGAAGCAGCUCAUUGGUAUUGAUAAUUCAAGGGGUGGGGUCAUAUCAAUGGUCUCAUCGCCCUAGUGGGACGAGGUGCCCCACGAGAUGAUGAAGAUUGUAUCAGUUGUUGGAGGGGGAUUGUGCAAGACUACUCUUGCCAAGUAGUGUAUGAUGAGCUUAAACCUCAACUCGAUUGUGGGGCCUCUGUUUUGGUUGGCCGAAAUCCUGGUUUGAAGAAAGUUUUUAUGGAUAUU